rnacentral:hammerhead_ribozyme from 1 species
AUCCAGUUGACGAGUCCCAAAUAGGACGAAAUGAGCAUCAAACUGGAU